rnacentral:rRNA from 1 species
CCAGGCUCGUACGGCAUUGGACAUCCGGCGAAAGCCGGCUCCCGCAAGGGCCGAUGUCGAGGUGCUGCAUGGCUGUCGUCAGCUCGUGUCGUGAGAUGUUGGGUUAAGUCCCGCAACGAGCGCAACCCUUGUCCGCUGUUGCCAUCACGUUAUGGUGGGCACUCUGCGGAGACUGCCGGUGAUAAACCGGAGGAAGGUGGGGAUGACGUCAAGUCAGCAUGGCCUUUAUGUCUGGGGCUACACACGUGCUACAAUGGCCGGUACAAACCGUCGCGAUACCGCAAGGUGGAGCUAAUCGGAGAAAGCCGGUCUCAGUUCGGAUUGCAGGCUGCAACUCGCCUGCAUGAAGUUGGAAUCGCUAGUAAUCGCGGAUCAGCACGCCGCGGUGAAUACGUUCCCGGGCCUUGUACACACCGCCCGUCACAUCACGAAAGCUGGUUGUACUAGAAGUCACCGAGCUAACCCGCAAGGGAGGCAAGUGCCUAAGGUAUGGUCAGUGAUUGGGGUG